rnacentral:tRNA from 1 species
UUAACGAUUAUGUGGGUAAAGUUGGAAAUAAAGUAUUAUACUUAUAAAUAAAAGUUUA